rnacentral:rRNA from 1 species
UACUCUUGACAUCCUGCGAACUUUCGAGAGAUCGAUUGGUGCCUUCGGGAACGCAGAGACAGGUGCUGCAUGGCUGUCGUCAGCUCGUGUUGUGAAAUGUUGGGUUAAGUCCCGUAACGAGCGCAACCCUUGUCCUUAGUUGCCAUCAUUUAGUUGGGGACUCUAAGGAGACUGCCGGUGACAAACCGGAGGAAGGCGGGGACGACGUCAAGUCAUCAUGGCCCUUAUGGGAUGGGCUACACACGUGCUACAAUGGGGGGUACAAAGAGCAGCCAACUGGCGACAGUGCGCGAAUCUCAUAAAACCUCUCGUAGUCCGGAUCGGAGUCUGCAACUCGACUCCGUGAAGUCGGAAUCGCUAGUAAUCGUGAAUCAGAAUGUCACGGUGAAUACGUUCCCGGGCCU